AACGAACGCUGGCGGCAGGCUUAACACAUGCAAGUCGAACGCCCGUAGCAAUACGGGAGUGGCGGACGGGUGAGUAACGCGUGGGAACGUACCCUGAGGUACGGAAUAACCGAGGGAAACUUCGGCUAAUACCGUAUGAGCCCCGCAAGGGGGAAAGAUUUAUCGCCUUGGGAGCGGCCCGCGUCGGAUUAGCUAGUUGGUGGGGUAACGGCCUACCAAGGCUUCGAUCCGUAGCUGGUCUGAGAGGACGAUCAGCCACACUGGGACUGAGACACGGCCCAGACUCCUACGGGAGGCAGCAGUGGGGAAUCUUGCGCAAGUGGGGGCAACCCUGACGCAGCCAUGCCGCGUGAACGAUGAAGGCCUUAGGGUUGUAAAGUUCUUUUACCCGUGACGAUGAUGACGGUAACGGGGGAAUAAGCUCCGGCUAACUUCGUG
rnacentral:rRNA from 1 species